UUUUAUGAGAGUUUGAUCCUGGCUCAGGACGAACGCUGGCGGCGUGCCUAAUACAUGCAAGUCGAACGCUUCUUUUUCCACCGGAGCUUGCUCCACCGGAAAAAGAAGAGUGGCGAACGGGUGAGUAACACGUGGGUAACCUGCCCAUCAGAAGGGGAUAACACUUGGAAACAGGUGCUAAUACCGUAUAACAAUCAAAACCGCAUGGUUUUGAUUUGAAAGGCGCUUUCGGGUGUCGCUGAUGGAUGGACCCGCGGUGCAUUAGCUAGUUGGUGAGGUAACGGCUCACCAAGGCCACGAUGCAUAGCCGACCUGAGAGGGUGA
rnacentral:rRNA from 1 species